AUGGUCAGCCAUGGAAACUACAGCUUAACUUGGAGCACGGAUCGGGGCCAAAACACGGAGCUUCGAGGAAACUCUGCAGCGUGCAAGAAAAAAGACGGACUGGAUUAGCCUUUUUGCGCUCUUUGUAUUGGUGCCAUCGUCUCGGGUUCACUCCAGCGUUUAACUGUCGAUUGGACAAGAUGACAUUUUGACUAUUUAGGGGGGGUUUGUUCUGAACAUUUAUCAUUUCUGCGUCGUCUUUGCAAUACGUUUAUCUGCGUUUAAACGGAUACGAUUUUGGAUUUAAAGGGGUAGUUCAGCUCAGGCAAAAAAUAAAACCGGUGUCAUCUUUUACUUACCCUCUCGUUGUUCCAAACCCGUUUGACUUUCUUUCUUCUGCUGAGCACAAAAGUAGAUGUUAGGCUGUAUGAUAAAGUCUGACAGCCUCACACACUAUCUUUUUUCCCCAUACAAUGAAAGUGAAUGGUGACUGAGAAAAAGAAAGUCUUAAAUGUUUGAAACAACAACAGGGAUUCUUGUUGUGUUCUUUUUGGCAGGACUAGGCCUUUUUGACUAUGUUUUCAGUCCCAACAGCAUCUGUCUGGCUGUCUGCUUGUGCUGCCGAAAAGCUGUCGCCGAAAGAGGAUAAUUUGUGCAAAAAUCAACCUAAGAAAUGGUCAAAAUCACACGCAGCGCACCAGAGCUGCUUGGCCGUUGUCAUGGAUAACAUGGUGGGCACCCUGUCUUGGUCAGCGGGAUGUCCUGCAGAUUGAGCUGGGCACCCCGCAGAGCCACGGAGCGGCCUUUAAAAUUGACCCCCUGUGGAGGACCGGGGCCCCUCUUGUCUCGUCUGAGCGCACGCCUGGAGACCGCUUUUAAAUGUGCUUUUGGUGUCCCAGAGAGAGAGGCCGCUGGCACGAAGGGGCGAAUGCUCACCGCAGUGGUCCCUUUUUCUCGGAUAAAUUCAAAGGAGGAAAAUAGCCCACAUUACAAGCUCCUUAAGGGUCAAGGACAGCCAAGACAUGAAUGGUUUGAAAGAGUGGCAUUGUGAAAUCACAUAGCAAGCGGUUACACCCUCUGUCAUCUUUUUACGGAUUUGCAUUUUUCUUGUGCCACAAUGAACAGUUCAGAAUAAGACUUACAAGACAUGUGGAUGAAAUUAAUUAAGACGCUGGAGAAAAAGAGGUGUGAACCGCAAAUGCGGUGGUCCUGUUUGGAAUAGACGCCGAUGCUAUUUAAGGACUAUUUUAAUGAGUGGCAAAUAAUUUUUUGAGCUUGGAUGACUGCAUGCGAUUUGAAAAAUAUUGAAUGCUUAGAAGAGGAAGAAAAUCCCUCAUUGGAUAUUAUAAGGAGGAUGGCAUUUGCAACACUUGAUUUCACUGCUAACUGAAUUCAAAUGGUGUCAGUAUUGGCUGGUAUUUUCCUUCACGCAGGAGGGACGGUGGUAGAUUGAUGCCCUAACAUUAUUCAUUAUUCAAAAUUUAGCAAUAACUCAACAGCGUUUUGUCCUUUCGCUCAUCCAUCUCCUCUCUCGCCGUACCUAGGUAUGCUGCUAUUCUUAUGCGACUAUCAUCCAUUGGACAGUGCGGCCCCAGAAAGCACCCUUUAAACACUCCCCCAUUGUACUGUCACAAGCCUGGAGAGUUCAUGUUAUAUUUAUGUUGCCUACAGCGUAUUCUCUCUGUUCUGUUCAGCUGAACUAACGCCAACUCCUCCAGGUCCCCCCUCCACAGACAAUGUUACAUCUCAUUGGCUUUGCCCUAGAUAGGCUAUUUUUGUAUGAAAUAAUUAGACAUAACUGAUUUAAAUACUGCAAAGCCAACACUCUUUUGUCUCGUUUACAAAGUGCAGGAGAGGCACACGCUUACGGUGUCAUUUCUGUCAAUCCGUACAAGGAGGUUAAAAAUACAAAUGCGUUUCAAGCUAAUGGAUCUGAAGCAGGGCCAAGAAAAAUUAGCAGUUUUAUUAGCUUCCUUCGAUUCGGGUUUUACUUUCGGGACUGAGCUACGGUGACCUGACCUGAUAAAAUCUAUUAUGAAAGCAAAAAAUGUCAGGAAAGCAUUGCCCGAAGCUUUUAAUUGUCUCAACGUGCACAUCAGCAAAAUAUAGGAUUGCUAAAAUAUGCCGCUGUACAGCACUAAUUGUCCAUGUAAGGACAGCACGGCGCUUAAAACAGCACGUUUUGUUUGUUACAGUGACCCCAGACCCAGACAGCCGUGCUGAUGCCGAGUGCACACGAGGGAGAGGUGGAGAGCAGGAACGCAGAUUGGGGCUGACCGCUCGGCUGCACUUUAAUGUACCCUCUACUUCAUCAGUCCUGAUUAGCCACCAUAUAAAUCCAGAUUGAACGUUACAUUUUUACUGCUGAUUGUCUUCCAAACACUCUCAGGUGUUGGCGUGUUAAAUGCCAGGGUGUGCAUCUGUCCUCGCAUCCCUUCAGCUUGCUGCAGUGAGACGUCUGACUUGAAAAAUGGGGACCCUCUUCAGAAACGAAAGCAAUGCAGAACAAAUUUCAGGCUUUUAGGCUUAACACGUCUUGUGCCAAAACCUCAAUAACAAGCCCCCCUCCAGCCCCCGUUUCCCUGGCUCUUGCCCCAGACUUACACAAAGAAACACCAGCUUUAUGGACUUAGGGCAUUAAAGCAUAAAAAACAGUGGACAGAGAACAGGUUCGGAACACAUGGCGCCAAACGUGGGGCACGAUCGCGUCAGAUCACACAGGCUAUACACCUUAACGCUCCAAUUCUUAGGUACACAGCCAUGUUUUCAAAAGGGCACAUGAAAGGGCUUAGCGAGAGAGAGAGAGAUGAGCAACAGCAGCGAGGAGGCCGGCGCUCCAGCAAAAAAACGCUUUUCUGAUGAGCUGCAACAAUGCACUCACUCCCACGACAUCGGCUCUCUGUUGGGAGUCUCCUCCUAAUUUCCUCCAUCCAUAAUAAAAAGAGAUACAUUAAACAGUGCCAUUAGUGCCAGCAAUUUGUUUUAUUCUCCACAGAAAGAGAAAUGUUAUCUGUGGCGGACAAACUUAACCCAAUUAAAGCUCAUUGUGUAUGGGGGCCUUGCUGGGUCUUCAGCUGAUGCCUAGGAACGAGGGCAGAGGAAGCCAACUUUGGGGAGGGAGGGGGGGGGAAGAGAACGGCUGGAACACGUCUGGAGAAUUAGGGAAAGUAGGAGAGAGACAAAUGUGCUAUCAGGAAAAAAAGACGGGAAGAGAAAUUAUGUUUUUGUACGUUUCCCCCCACAUCAAUUCCCUCCCAAGAUGGUCUGGUAGAAAAAUACUGCACAAAAUAUACACGGCUAAUUUGGCUCUUAAAUAAUUAGAGUGAAUGCAAAACCUUUUCAUCAAAUUGAAAAGGGGAGGAAAUGCAAACAAAGUCACACGUUCUGAGUCAUUCGUUCAUACCCUCACAAUUUUGCUGUUAAUUGUUGUGAUAACACCUCUCGAUUACAGGGGUUUAAUUAUCAACAUGUUUGGCUGUUAGACCCAGUACCUGGCACAGAUCCUGGUGAAGGGCUCAAGGUUUUUAAUGAAGAUCUCACUCACAGCAGCAUACAGGAGCUCAGUGUGGUGCUGUCCUAACAAAGAAGCACAUCGUGUUUAGAAACGACCUGGGUAUCUGUGAAUUCUAACACAAUAAUGCCAAGAAUAUUCAUAGUGAUACAUUUUGAUUGAUAUCCAGUUGUGCGGGAAUGGCAAGUGUUCUGUCUCUGUGGGGGGGGGGGGGGGGGGUGAUUUUGUGUGAUUGAGGAAUUGUAACAGUAACUGAAUCGCAUAUCUUGGGACACAAAUGAGGCAUGUCUUCCCUUCUGUGACGGCGAAAGCUGGUUUCACUCCGUUUGACUGGUAAUCCUUCCAUCGACUACUGCAUUUAUCGGCUUUAGUGGAGUCGUUUUUU